rnacentral:hammerhead_ribozyme from 1 species
AUACAGAUGAUGAGUCCUGAGCAGGACGAAAUGCGCUUCCUGUAU